CUGGGAGAGAAGGUGACAGAGAGACGGGGAGAGAAGGUGACAGACAGGGUGAGAAGGUGACAGAGAGACUGGGAGAGAAGGUGACAGAGAGAUGGGGAGAGAAGGUGACAGAGAGACAGGGAGAGAAGGUGACAGAGAGACGGGGAGAGAAGGUGACAGAGAGACGGGGAGAGAAGUUGACAGAGAGAUGGGGAGAGAAGGUGACAGACAGGGAGAGAAGGUGACAGAGAGACUGGGAGAGAAGGUGACAGAGAGACUGGGAGAGAAGGUGACAGAGAGACGGGGAGAGAAGGUGACAGAGAGACGGGGAGAGAAGGUGACAGAGAGACAGGGAGAGAAGGUGACAGACAGGGAGAGAAGGUGACAGAGAGACUGGGAGAGAAGGUGACAGACAUGGAGAGAAGGUGACAGAGAGACUGGGAGAGAAGGUGACAGAGAGACGGGGAGAGAAGGUGACAGACAGGGAGAGAAGGUGACAGAGAGACUGGGAGAGAAGGUGACAGAGAGACGGGGAGAGAAGGUGACAGACAGGGUGAGAAGGUGACAGAGAGACUGGGAGAGAAGGUGACAGAGAGACGGGGAGAGAAGGUGACAGAGAGACAGGGAGAGAAGGUGACAGAGAGACAGGGAGAGAAGGUGACAGAGAGACAGGGAGAGAAGGUGACAGAGAGACGGGGAGAGAAGGUGACAGAGAGACAGGGAGAGAAGGUGACAGAGAGACGGGUAGAGAAGGUGACAGACAGGGUGAGAAGGUGACAGAGAGACUGGGAGAGAAGGUGACAGAGAGACAGGGAGAGAAGGUGACAGAGAGACGCGGAGAGAAGGUGACAGAGAGACGGGGAGAGAAGGUGACAGAGAGACAUGGAGAGAAGGUGACAGAGAGACAGGGAGAAAAGGUGACAGAGAGACAGGGAGAGAAGUUGACAGAGAGACAGGGAGAGAAGGUGACAGAGAGACAGGGAGAGAAGGUGACAGAGAGACGGGGAGAGAAGGUGACAGAGAGACAGGGAGAGAAGGUGACAGAGAGACGGGGAGAGAAGGUGACAGAGAGACAGGGAGAGAAGGUGACAGAGAGACAGGGAGAGAAGGUGACAGAGAGACAGGGAGAGAAGGUGACAGAGAGACAGGGAGAGAAGGUGACAGAGAGAUGGGGAGAGAAGGUGACAGACAGGGAGAGAAGGUGACAGAGAGACAUCCUGAGAGUUUACAGUCAAUAUGGUAGGAUAUUUAUGAGUUAAAUGAACCAUGUGUGACAGAGAGAGAGGGAGAGAAGGUGAGGAAGUUAAAGCGAGGGAAGAGAAAAGAAGAACUUCCAAAGAGGAGAGUUCAAGACUAAAGAAACACAAAUAUAUAUUAUAUUCAG
rnacentral:lncRNA from 1 species